rnacentral:rRNA from 1 species
UGGGGAAUUUUGGACAAUGGGGGAAACCCUGAUCCAGCCAUCCCGCGUGUGCGAUGAAGGCCUUCGGGUUGUAAAGCACUUUUGGCAGGAAAGAAACGUCAUGGGUUAAUACCCCGUGAAACUGACGGUACCUGCAGAAUAAGCACCGGCUAACUACGUGCCAGCAGCCGCGGUAAUACGUAGGGUGCAAGCGUUAAUCGGAAUUACUGGGCGUAAAGCGUGCGCAGGCGGUUCGGAAAGAAAGAUGUGAAAUCCCAGAGCUCAACUUUGGAACUGCAUUUUUAACUACCGGGCUAGAGUGUGGCAGAGGGAGGUGGAAUUCCGCGUGUAGCAGUGAAAUGCGUAGAUAUGCGGAGGAACACCGAUGGCGAAGGCAGCCUCCUGGGAUAACACUGACGCUCAUGCACGAAGGCGUGGGGAGCAAACAGG